UUGGCUUGGUCAAAUCAGUGUUCAAAUUAUCUCCUGCCCUUUCAAGAGGACCUAGGGCUCUAGAAG
rfam:Papio anubis isolate 1X1155 chromosome 7, whole genome shotgun sequence.